GGAUUAGAUACCCUGGUAGUCCACGCUGUAAACGAUGAGUGCUCGGUGUUGCGGGUGUUGACCCCUGCAAUGCCUUAGCUAACGCGUUAAGCACUCCGCCUGGGGAGUACGGUUGCAAGGCUGAAACUCAAAGGAAUUGACGGGGGCCCGCACAAGCGGUGGAGCAUGUGGUUUAAUUCGAUGCAACGCGAAGAACCUUACCUGGGCUUGAACUGUGGGGGACCGCUCUGGAAACAGAGCUUCCACUUCGGUGGUCGCCACAGAGGUGCUGCAUGGCUGUCGUCAGCUCGUGUCG
rnacentral:rRNA from 1 species